AGGAUAUGAAUCAAUUAUUAAUAUCCUCCUUUAUCGCAUGCUUGAAAGUAACAUAAGAAGACAAUUAAGAAAACUAUAUGCAAUUCGCUAAGGAAGUUUGUCAUAAACAGAUACUAUGCUGUUCUGAGGGGUACAACUAUAUUUGGACCACCGAGCAAAUUAAACAUUUUGGUCCUUCGAACCGGACCAGAUACCGCACCAAAUGGCAGGCCGAUGUUAAUUUUUGAGCGUUUAAUUGUAUAUAUUGGGGUACAAAUCCUUCAGAAGAAUAAUACUCGUCUACAGCUGGGUUUUCAACUGCAAAUCAUUUCUUAGUUGCCCACAUGGCAGCGAUUUUAUUUUAAACAUACGCACGCAUUUGAGAUAACAAGCAAUUUAAGCACAGUCUAGUAGAUGUUGGCCAUUAAAAUCUUUAAACAUGGUUGUGGCUGAUCCAAAGCUCAUAAUAAAACAGGUUCGAAAAAAAUUUGCCGUAAAAAAAAUUGUGAAAGAAAAAACACAAAUACAAAAAAUCUCUCAUUAUUUGCGAAAAAGGUUCAAACAGUCUUACAAAACAGAUAAAAAUGGCACAAAUGUUUCGGCCAGAAGUAAAAUUAAAAAAUGUCUAGUCCUUCAAAAGCCAUUUUUUUCAAUUUUAUUUUAAAGAAAAGGGCAUAUUUUAAUUGUACGUAUGAUGUAAAAUUAACUCGCGCAUCAUACCUAUUGAUUUUCAAAGAAAUAUAAAUAGCUGUUCCGAUAAAA